UUACAGCCAUAUCAUGUUGAAACACCGGUUCUAAUCACCAAAGUUAAGCAACACUGAGCUAGAUCAGUACUCAGAUGGAUAACCUCUAGGGAAGACCAUGUACUGUAUG